rnacentral:piRNA from 1 species
UGGUGUUUGAGCCUGUGAGAACAGUAC